CCUCCUUCAGCUGUUUCUCAAGUGUCUGAGAGAGUACUGGUUCUGCCCAUGUAGGGGUGGAGGUAGGAGCCAGCUCAACACAUCUCACAUACUCAGUACCUCAUGUAAUCUUUUCCACAGUCCUGGAAGGCAAGUUCGAUUGCCAUUUCACAGAUGACAAGUCUGUCCCUUACAGAAGUGAAUCUAGAGCAACCAUUACGUUAAUUCCUCCAUCAUCGAGACCCAGAGCCAACUUCCCUGGACUCCAAGCUCACCUACGACCUUCUCUCUACCAUCCUCAACCCCCAUCCCACUCUUGUGUUCUGCUGGCUGCAGGGAAUGCUCUCACGCUGACUUGAGAGAAACUGGAGCAACAAUAAUUAGUAGUAUCCCAGUGACCGAAGAGGCUGGCUCCGUACUGCAGUGUACCCGAGAUAGGUCCCACAGCCAACUGGCAGGUCAAGUGAAUGCUCCCCGGCACCACAGUCCAAUCCCUCCUCACUCUGCCCAUUAGUGGGCGGCUACUUGUUACCCACCACCUCUCUUGACAGGUACUUUCUCUGGGUCCAUUUGUCUUUUUCCUUUUGCUGAGACACUGGUCAAAGAAAGACUUCUAAUGAAAACCGCAAAGGUUUGUGUUUAAAUAGUUUGGGUGGUCGAAAGGAGGAAUCUUGACAACUUUGCUUUUAAACUCCCCUGCAAGAAGAAAGAACAUAGACCCCUGCUCAACUGGAUCAUUUAAAUGUUAACUUAAUUAUUGUAUGGUGAAUAGAAUACUGCACGUUAGAAAAAAAUUAUGAAUUUUACCCCAAAAUAAUGAAAAAUUGCCCUUUGCCCUGGCAUGCAAAAAAUGAACAAAACGUGAAAGUAUGUUUAAGGCUUAUAAAAGAACAAUUAAUUUAUCUUAAAUGUAAAACAAUAUACAAAGGAUAGAUAAUGACCAGACCACAUAUGACAAUAGAACUGAGACCCAUAGCCUUUGCAGCAAAGCUGCCCAAACUACAGUUUUGGCAGCGAUCUUCAGGAUUUAAAGACUGAUCAACUUGCCAGCUUUCCCAUUUUUUUUCUAUAACCAACAAGAAGAAGCCAGUUAGCCUUAAACAAUGACAAGGAUGUCCUGCAACAAGUUUGAUUUCCUCCAACUUCCCAGUGCUAACAAACUCCAAUCAGAUCAUACCUGAUGUUUUCUUUCUCAAAAAUACAGAUUUCCCACUCCUUUUCCUGCCCUUGAAUCACUGCCAAACACACUUGUGCUGGUAGCUGACAUCUUUGCUAUACCAUAAUAAACUGCAAGUAAGUAACCUGUUUGUUCU
rnacentral:lncRNA from 1 species